GUCCCACCUCUUUCCAUUCCGAACAGAGAAGUUAAGCUCCAUAGCGCCGAUGGUACUGCCCUUAGGGUGGGAGAGUAGGUCGUCGCCA
rnacentral:rRNA from 1 species